rnacentral:misc_RNA from 1 species
GAUGAAGACGUAGUGAACUGCGAUAAGUAAUGUGAAUUGCAGAAUUCAGUGAAUCAUCGAGUCUUUGAACGCACAUUGCGCCCCCUGGCAUUCCGGGGGGCAUGCCUGUCCGAGCGUCAUUGCUGCCCUUCAAGCCCGGCUUGUGUGUUGGGUCGUCGUCCCCCCCGGGGGACGGGCCCGAAAGGCAGCGGCGGCACCGCGUCCGGUCCUCGAGCGUAUGGGGCUUUGUCACCCGCUCGAUUAGGGCCGGCCGGGCGCCAGCCGGCGUCUCCAACCUUCUAUUUUACCAGGUUGACCUCGGAUCAGGUAGGGAUACCCGCUGAACUUAAGCAUAUCAAUAAGCGGAGGA